UGGCGGCAGCAGAACUCGCCUAAGUCGGUUUCCUCCCGGGCGGCCGUCGGUUCACUUCCUGCUUGUCCAACUUUCAGCCCGCCCCCGCCCACCUCGCAUCCCGAGCCGCUCCGGCCACACCUCGCGCAGGUUCCCCAGGUAGGCGGGCACCCUCCACAGCCCUCCCAGUCUCCUCCCCUGCCAGGGCUUAGGCUUAAAGCCACAGGGCUCCCUGGCACCACAAUUCUUCUCACGUAUCAGGAACCAGGGAAAAAAAGAUCAGGCAGCCCUCCUAGGUUUACUGACGUAGAAAGGGCAGCCAUCUCCUCCCCCUCCCGCUUUUUUUGGCCGCCUCACGGCACAUGGAAUUCCCAGCCGACCAAAGCAGCCUGCGGCAACGCUGGAUCCUUAACCCACUGUGCUGAGCUGGGGAUCAAACCUGCGUCCUGGAGCUGCAGAGACGCUGCCAAUCCUAUUGCACCACAGCGGGAAGUCCCGCUUCUUUUUCUAAAGUCCUGAAUAUCUGACCCUCAAUUCUUGGAGAUUGAACUCAACUUUCAGCACCUUGUUCGCAUGGGAACAGGAUGCAGAGAUGAACACUUUCUGGACAGACCUUGCUCCCAAGUCUGUUUUAGUGUAGAAAGCACUAAAACCCCCAGAGUCUGGAAUGCUGGGAUUCUGGGCUCUGGUGUCAGAAGGCUGCAGACCCUGAGUGAACCUCUGCCUGUCUGGGUUUUGCAGGUGCUGACGCUGACCUCAGAGGGUGGUGGUGAGGAAUAAAAGGAUAGAACAUAGCAUGUGCCUAGCACAGUGUCUGGAACCAAGGGCUGCCCACUGCUGGAAUCAGGAAAUGAUGGCUCACCAACCCCCCUUUCCUUCCAGAGUUCAACAGUCCUGCAUGUACGUCUCUUCAGGAGCCACCAUGUGGGUUGGUGAGCCCUGUCAGAAACAGUCAGACGACUGCCCUAUGGAGCAGGAAAAGGGGCCCAGGGCAAAGGAUUUUUCCACCAACCUGGCUCCAGGCCAGAGAAAAUCCACUCUUCCUGGAUGGUGUUUAUCAAGACAGAAGAACAAUAACAGGGACGUGCAGAAGGGAACAAACAUUCCUGUCCCAUCCCAGAAGAGAAUCCACGCAGGCCUGGCCGCACUGGUGCGAACAUCACAAUGGUACCCUCUGUCAGAAGACCACCUUGAUAGCCCCCUCACAAGGUGAGGCAUUCAGUAAGGCAACAAACUACAGGCUCUGAGCAGAAAUGGUGCUGUAGGCAGGGAACAAGAAGAGAACAAAAGUCACCAGUUCCUUUACAGUCGAGGACGCCUCUAUCCCAGAAGUGGAGGUCAGUCACUUUGUAAGAUGCCAGUGGGGGAGCUGCAGCCAAAGGAGCAAUUGGAGUGUACUGAUGAGCGUCCUUAGUCCCUGUGAGAUCAGGGGAUUUGGGCAGCAGCUCCACUGCCCCCUGGCUGUGGAGUCUUAGCAGGCCACUUCCCUCUGGGACCUUUGAAAAAUAGGUCCUCAUCUGAAAAACAGGACGAAGAGUGAAAGCUAUGGGAGUUCCCAUUGUGGCUCAGUGGGUUAAGAGCCCAACAUAGUGUCCAUGAGAAUGCAGGUUUGACCCCUGGCCUUGCUCAGUGGAUUAAGAAUACGGCAUUAACACAAACUGUAGUGGCUCCCAGAGUCACCUUGGAUCCAGCAUUGUUGUGGCUGUGGUAUAGGCCUGCAGCUGUAGCUCCAAUUCAACCCCUAGCCUGGGAAUUUCCAUAUGCCACACACAAAUGCAGGUAUGGCUGUAAAAAGAAAAGAAAAUAAUAAGAGCUACUUCGUGGAGUUAUUCUUAGGAUUCAAUGGUAUAGGUAUACAUUGCUAUGUUUCUGCUAAAGCACUUUACAAAUGGAAAAAGGAGACCGAUGGAACAAAUGGAAUGAGAAAAUAGGGAAAGAGGAAUAUUAGCCUGCAAAAACAACCAGGCAAAUUUUGGUGUUCAUUGGCAUUUAUCUUGAGUUUUAUUUACGGCCCAGUUGGGCAGUUGACUUCUGUACCUCUCAUGGAAAAGGACAGAGAAUAAGGAUGAAGCACAUUCAGGAGGCCCGACUUGAAUUGCUCUCUGAAGGAUCACAAAGCUUGCACCACUGCCAAGGUCUCUUUUGUCUCUAGGCCUGUCUAUAUAGACUGUUCCACCACUGGCCACCCCAUCUGUGACACAGUCACCCCCCUCUCUCCCAAUGUGCUCUCUUCCUUUCUGACACUGCCCUUAGAACCUGAAGCUUCUGCCCUUGGUCAUCCUUUGAUGCUGCACUCUUUACUUUUUCUCUUUUUAUGGCCAUACCUGUUGCAUAUGGAAGUUCCUGGGCUAGGGGUCCAAUUGGAGCUGUAGCUGCCGGCCUAUACCACAGCUGCUGCAGCACUGGAUCUGAGCUGCAUCUGUGACCCACACCAGCUUUCAACAAUAUUGGAUCCUUAACACACUGAGGGAGGCCAGGGAUUGAACCUGCAUUCUCAUGGAUACUAGUCAGGUUUGUUACUACUGAGCCACAAUGGGAACUCCCAGAGCAAGAAAUUUUGACAAGUGUCUAGAGAUAUUUGUCAGUGUCUAGAGAUAUUUUUGGUUGACACAACUGGGGGCAGGGGAGGAUGCUACUGGCAUCUAGUGGGUAGAAGUCACGGAUGCUUCUUACAAUCCAAAGGACAGCGCCCCCGCCCCCAACAAAAAAUAUACAGACCAAAAUGUUAAGUGUCAAAAUUAAGAACCCCCCCCCCAAAAAUAAAGGAGUUCCCGUCGUGGCGCAGUGGUUAACGAAUCCGACUAGGAACCAUGAGGUUGCGGGCUCGGUCCCUGCCCUUGCUCCGUGGGUUAACCAUCCGGCGUUACCGUGAGCUGUGGUGUAGGUUGCAGACGCGGCUCAGAUCCCGCCUUGCUGUGGCUCUGGUGUAGGCUGGUGGUUACAGCUCCGAUUCGACCCCUAGCCUGGGAACCUCCAUAUGCCGUGGGAGCGGCCUAAGAAAUAGCAAAAAGACAAAAAAAAAAAAAAAAUUAAGAAACCCUGGUCCUCCCUAGAGAAGUACAACCAAUGUGUUUACAGUUUCAACAACCACCUAUAAAUGAUCCCCAAAUCUGAACUUCUCUCUCAAUUGCCACUGCUGCCUGUCAAUGCCCUGGACAGUCCACAGACCCAUUCAACAGUCGAACCAAACCCUUUAUCUUUCCCCAGUUUCCUCCUCCUGGAUAGUAUUCCCACUCUACCCGUUUUCCAAGUUAGGAACCCCUGAGCCAUCCUACACACACACUGGGACAUCACUAAGUCUUAGUCUUGUCUCUCAAAUCCACCCCCUCCUUACCAUACCAGCUCCUGCUUCCUAGAUAAAGCCAGUAUGAGCUCUUCUCUGGAAAAUUCCAUCCGCCUCCUAACUGACCUUUCUUUUCCCAUCCAUUCCUCUUGGGGUUGCUUGCUCCUCCCUGCCCCCAGGGUAAAGUCCAAACAACUUAGCUUGGCAUUCCAAGAUUGUUCUCAACCUGCUUUUUGAAGCUUAUCUCCCAUGAGAGUCACCUCCCUGCUCCUCAGUCAUACUAAAUUACAUGCCCUUCCCCCAAACUCACCUACCUCUUUUAAAUCUUUACCAAGUGGACUUGUCUCAUAAGUGAAUAUCCUGCUUCAUUCAUCACUGCCUAUGGGAAGUCUAUUCUUUUCUUUUCUUUCUUUCUUUCUUUUUUUUCUUUUUAGGGUUGAACCUGUGGCAUAUGGAAGUUCCCCAGAUAGGGGUUGAAUCAAAGCUGCAGCUGCCACUAGGCCACAGUCACAGCCAUGCUGGAUCCAAGCUGCAUCUACGACCUAUGCUGCAUCUUGUGGCAAUGCCAGAUCCUUAACCCACUGAACAAGGCCAAGGAUGGAACUGUCUUCCUCAUGGAUACUGGUUGGGCCCUUAAUCUGCUGAGCCACAAUGGGAACUCCAGGAAAUCUAUUCUUUUUUUUUUUUGUCUUUUUGUUGUUGCUAUUUCUUGGGCCACUCCCACGGCAUAUGGAGGUUCCCAGGCUAGGGGUUGAAUCGGAGCUGUAGCCACCGGCCUACGCCAGAGCCACAGCAACUCGGGAUCUGAGCCGUGUCUGCAACCUACACCACAGCUCAUGGCAACGCCGGAUUGUUAACCCACUGAACAAGGGCAGGGACCGAACCCGCAACCUCAUGGUUCCUAGUCGGAUUCGUUAACCACUGCGCCACGACGGGAACUCCCAGGAAAUCUAUUAUUUCCAGAUUUCUUCUGGAUUUCCCCACUGAAGUUAACUUCUUCCUCUUUUUUUUUUUUUUAAGGGCACACCCAGGGCAUAUGAAAGUUCCUGGGCUAGGGAUCAAACUGGAGCUGCAGUUGUAGGCCUACACCACAGCCAUGACAAUGCCAGAUCCGAGCCACAUCUGCGACCUGCACCACAGUUCAAUGCUGUAUCCUGAACCCACUGAGUGGGGCCAGGGAUUGAACCUGCAUCCUCAUGGAUACCAGUCAGAUUCCUUACCAUUGAGCCACAACGGGAACUCCAUGAAAAUCAGAAUUUUAGAAAACUUGUAUCUGCCACUGUGAGUCUGGCAACUUCCUGACAUUUAAUUUUUUUUUUUUGUCUGUCUUUUGUUGUUGUUGUUGUUGCUAUUUCUUGGGCCGCUCCCGCGGCAUAUGGAGGUUCCCAGGCUAGGGGUUGAAUCGGAGCUGUAGCCACCGGCCUACGCCAGAGCCACAGCAACGCGGGAUCCGAGCCGCGUCUGCAACCUACACCACAGCUCACGGCAACGCCGGAUCGUUAACCCACUGAGCAAGGGCAGGGACCGAGCCCGCAACCUCAUGGUUCCUAGUCGGAUUCGUUAACCACUGCGCCACGACGGGAACUCCCUUCCUGACAUUUAAGACAUUCUACAUUUGCGAGGGCCUACUGUAGAACGGUGGGUUAAGAAUCCAACUACAGCAGCUCAGGUCACUGAGAUGGCAUGGAUUCAAUUCCUGGCCCAGGAACUUCCAUAUGCUGCAGUUAUGGCCAUAAAAGAGAAGGAGAGAGAGAGAUUGAUUCUGCAUUUGGAAGAGCUGUAUAACUCAGUGAACCAAUGUUUUCCAAAUGACCAUAUGUAUGAUUUCACAAAUUCAUGCAUGACUAAAGGGUCUAUUCAAAGUGCAAGACAUACCAAUGAUUUUAAUGUAACAGAGCAAAAAGUUCAUUAUUGACUUCUGAUUUCACAUCUGACUAACCUUUUAAAAGCCAUUUAUAAGUUUAGGUGGGGCAUCACACCUUCAUUGUGGUAUCCACAAUCAUCUAAACAGGCUAUUAAAAUGCUUUUCUUGGGGAGGCAGAACUGUGCUGGCAGCAUGCAGAAGUUCCCAGGCCAGGGAUCAAAGCUGUUUCACCACAGCAACCUGAGCCACAGGAGUGAAAACACCAGAUCCUUAACCUGAUGGGCCACCAGGGAAUUCCUAGAAUGCUUUUUUCCAACUAAAUAUCUAUGGGGCCAGAUUUCCUUCACAUACUUAAAUCAAUGCCAUUUCAGAACAGAUGGAAUAUAGAAGCAGAUAUGAGAAUCCAGCUCUCUUCAAUUAAGCCAGAUAUUAAUGAGAUUUGCAUGUAAAACAAUAUACUGCUCUCAUAUAACUUUUUUUUGUGUGGAAAACAUACUUUUUAAUAAAAAUGUUAUGUAGACAUGUAAAGAGUUUAUUACUUUUUUCUAUUAGUGAAUCAACACUUUUAUACAUUUCUCAGUGUAAAUUUCCAAUAUACUAAAAACAGAAAAACAUAACUCAUAUAAAUAAAAGUUCUGGAGUUCCCAUAAUGGCACAGCG
rnacentral:lncRNA from 1 species